UAAUAAAUAAAUCGUGGUUGUUACCACUUUUCGUGGUGACGCUUCGGAAUUGAGUCGUCUUACCUUCGGUUAAGUGACUUAAAAUUUUUUCAUACGAUUUCGAAACGUAUUUAAUGUAUUACGUACGUUCACGAAUAUCGAAUGUUUUAUUAGGUGCGGUCAUUUUCAUGAAUUCGCGUCUAUAAUUUUUUUU
rnacentral:misc_RNA from 1 species